GAUGAACGCUGGCGGCGUGCCUAAUACAUGCCAGUAGAACGCUGAAGGAGGAGCUUGCUCUUCUGGAUGAGUUGCGAACGGGUGAGUAACGCGUAGGUAACCUGCCUGGUAGCGGGGGAUAACUAUUGGAAACGAUAGCUAAUACCGCAUGACAACAGUUAUUGCAUGAUAACUGUUUAAAAGGGGCAACUGCUCCACUACCAGAUGGACCUGCGUUGUAUUAGCUAGUUGGUGAGGUAACGGCUCACCAAGGCGACGAUACAUAGCCGACCUGAGAGGGUGAUCGGCCACACUGGGACUGAGACACGGCCCAGACUCCUACGGGAGGCAGCAGUAGGGAAUCUUCGGCAAUGGACGGAAGUCUGACCGAGCAACGCCGCGUGAGUGAAGAAGGGUUUCGGAUCGUAAAGCUCUGUUGUAAGAGAAGAACGAGUGUGAGAGUGGAAAGUUCACACUGUGACGGUAUCUUACCAGAAAGGGACGGCUAACUACGAG
rnacentral:rRNA from 1 species